GCCCUCGUAGCUCAGCUGGUAGAGCGUGCGCGUACAAAGCGUACGCUGCGCCUAUGCGUGGAUUCGAAUUCUACCGAGGCUA
rnacentral:tRNA from 1 species